rnacentral:rRNA from 1 species
AUAGCCUACGGGAGGCAGCAGUAGGGAAUAUUGCUCAAUGGGGGAAACCCUGAAGCAGCAACGCCGCGUGGAGGAUGAAGGUUUUCGGAUUGUAAACUCCUUUUGUUAGAGAAGAUAAUGACGGUAUCUAACGAAUAAGCACCGGCUAACUCCGUGCCAGCAGCCGCGGUAAUACGGAGGGUGCAAGCGUUACUCGGAAUCACUGGGCGUAAAGAGCGCGUAGGCGGGAUAGCAAGUCUGAAGUGAAAGCCCAAGGCUCAACCAUGGGACUGCUUUGGAAACUGUUAAGCUAGAGUGCUGGAGAG